rnacentral:rRNA from 1 species
UCAGCCGCCGCGGUAAAACCAGCACCUCAAGUGGUCAGGAUGAUUAUUGGGCCUAAAGCAUCCGUAGCCGGCUCUGUAAGUUUUCGGUUAAAUCUGUACGCUCAACGUACAGGCUGCCGGGAAUACUGCAGAACUAGGGAGUGGGAGAGGUAGACGGUACUCGGUAGGAAGUGGUAAAAUGCUUUGAUCUAUCGAUGACCACCUGUGGCGAAGGCGGUCUACCAGAACACGUCCGACGGUGAGGGAUGAAAGCUGGGGGAGCAAACCGGAUUAGAUACCCGGGUAGUCCCAGCUGUAAACUAUGCAAACUCAGUGAUGCAUUGGCUUGUGGCCAAUGCAGUGCUGCAGGGAAGCCGUUAAGUUUGCCGCCUGGGAAGUACGUACGCAAGUAUGAAACUUAAAGGAAUUGGCGGGGGAGCACCACAAGGGGUGAAGCCUGCGGUUCAAUUGGAGUCAACGCCAGAAAUCUUACCCGGAGAGACAGCAGAAUGAAGGUCAAGCUGAAGACUUUACCAGACAAGCUGAGAGGUGGUGCAUGGCCGUCGCCAGCUCGUGCCGUGAGAUGUCCUGUUAAGUCAGGUAACGAGCGAGAUCCCUGCCUCUAGUUGCCACCAUUACUCUCAGGAGUAGUGGGGCGAAUUAGCGGGACCGCCGCAGUUAAUGCGGAGGAAGGAAGGGGCCACGGCAGGUCAGUAUGCCCCGAAACUCUGGGGCCACACGCGGGCUGCAAUGGUAACGACAAUUGGUUUCGAAUCCGAAAGGAUGAGGUAAUCCUCAAACGUUACCACAGUUAUGACUGAGGGCUGCAACUCGCCCUCACGAAUAUGGAAUCCCUAGUAACUGCGUGUCAUUAUCGCGCGGUGAAUACGUCCCUGCUCCUUGCACACACCGCCCGUCGUUUCAUUGAAGUGAGCUUUUAGCGAGGUGACGUCUAA